UUCCUAGGCAGGCAGAAACCUUGUCAUUGGUCAAGAGCAACACUAAGACUACCUGUCUCCUAUGUUGAGGCUUCCUGCCUGGUGGGUUCACUAGCGAGCCAGAAUGAAUCACUAUUGCCAUGGAUGUCCUUCUGAGGCAGCUGGGAAGCCUUGGCUGAAUUGUGAAAGAUAUCUUUUAAAAGCAUUUUAGAGUCCACCGGAUCUUCCAUGUGAGUGAACAUGCAGCAGAAGAGGGAGUCCUUUCAGUGAUUAAGGUAACACAGUGAUUAAGGAGACUUUUAGAAACUACUUGUCAAGUUCUCACCACAAAUACCAUUGAAAUUGCAAUUGGAGUGGCAUUGAAUGUAUAGAUUAAUUUUUGGAGAGAUGUCAUCUUUAUAAUCUUCGCAUACAUAUGAAUGUGCUUCUUCUCUCUACUGCCUUUUGAGCUGCCAGGCAC